UGAGAGUGACAAAAUGGCUGUGGAAUCCGAGGACAAAUCAGAACCGAAAGACAUUCCCAUUGAGGUUGACGAAUUGGAUAUGACUGUUGAGAAAGAAUUGCCAGUGGGAGUUCUUGAUGAAGAUAGCAAUGAUGCUAGUAUUGAGAAGGAAGAAGAGCACGAUAAUACUGGUUCUGGAAGUGUAUCAGCCAUGGUGAAUGAUUCUGCACGAGAUGGACUAGGUUCAGAGAACCAUGCAAUGAUGGAACUUCCAGUGGGACUACUUGAUGAGGAUGAAAGGGACAAUGAAAUGAAUAUUUCUAAAAGUGAGGAAUUUAUUGAGGAGCUGCCUGUGGGACUACUUGAUGAGAAGGAAGAAGAACCUGAAGAAGAGAAGGACGAUGAAGCUAAGCCUAAAGAGGUUCUGAUGGCACAAGAAAGGGAAUGUAAUGCAGAUGAGGAAACAAGUUCUUCCACAGAUGAUACUUCAAAAGAAACUCAAUCAGAGCCACAGC
rnacentral:lncRNA from 1 species